GAUGAACGCUGGCGGCGUGCCUAAUACAUGCAAGUCGAGCGAACGGACGAGAAGCUUGCUUCUUUGAUGUUAGCCGCGGACGGGUGAGUAACACGUGGAUACUCUACCUAUCAGUCUGGGAUCACUUCGGGAAUCCGGAGAUAAUACCGGAUGAUAUUCUGCACCGUAUGGUUCAAAAGAGAAUGACGGUCUUGCUGUCUGUUCUAGCUGGAUCUGCGCUGCAUUAGCUAGUUGGUACGGUAAUGGCUUACCAAGGCAACGAUGCAUAGCCGACCUGCGAGGGUGAUCGGCCACACUGGAACUGAGACGCGGUCCAUGGUCCUACGGGAGGCAGCAGUAGGGAAUCUUCCGCAGUGGGCGAGAACCUGGCGGAGCAACGCCGCGUGUGUGGUGGAGGUCUUCGGAUCGGAAAACUCUGUUAUGAGGGAAGAACAGAUGUGGAAGUAACUGUGCACAGCGUGACGGUACCUAAUCAGAAAGCCACGGCUAACUACGUG
rnacentral:rRNA from 1 species